rnacentral:lncRNA from 1 species
UUUUCUAUUUUUUUGCGUGAAUCAGAAUUUCCUUGAAACCCUAGCUGUGUUUUUGCUUAAGUACUCAGAGAAAAUUGGGCUUAAAAAGCUACGGGUCGAAAAACAUAAGUUUGACCCGAAAUUACAUUAUUUUCAUAAAGUCUGGAACAUAAACGUAAAUAUUUGACACACUUGCGCUCCGAACUGGGUUUUUUCCUCAACAUGAAAGUUGUAGCUCUUGAUCUCAGCUUUCCAACGCAUCUUCCGGCGCCUCAAUCCGAUAUUCGUAGCUCCAGUUAUGACCUG